ACACGCAUGACACACUGCAUAUCAAUAAGCGGAGGAAAAGAAACUAACAAGGAUUCCCCUAGUAACGGCGAGUGAAGCGGGAAGAGCUCAAAUUUGAAAUCUUCAAGGGUUUCCCUUGACGAAUUGUAGUUUAUAGAAGUGUUUUCUGUUAGUGGAGGUGGUAAAAGUUCUUUGGAAUAGGACAUCAUAGAGGGUGAGAAUCCCGUAUUUGAUCACUUUCUACUAACGUUGUGAUACACUUUCAAAGAGUCGGAUUGUUUGGGGAAUGCAGUCCAAAAUGGGUGGUAAAUUUCAUCUAAAGCUAAAUAUUGGCGAGAGACCGAUAGCGAACAAGUACCGUGAGGGAAAGAUGAAAAGAACUUUGAAAAGAGAGUUAAACAGUACGUGAAAUUGUCAAAAGGGAAGCGUUUGACACCAGUGUUGUUUUUUCCGAAAAUCAAUUAUGAAUGGCUUGAUUUUAAGUUUCAUGACCUUAAAAGCUUGUUUCUUAUUUUUCAUGUCUUUCGUAAUGCACUUUUCGGUUAACAAGUCAACAUCAAUUUCUUUUGUUGUAAAAGGUUAAGAGGAAGGUGGCUUUACUUUCGGGUAAAGUGUUUAUAGCCCUUUAACUCUGCAAUCGGAGAGAUUGAGGUCUGCAGCGUAGAUCCUUCGGGGUUAGAUACGUUUGUGCUAAGUUAUAGCUUUUCAUAGACAACUUGUUGACUAUGUUUAGUCUUGUAGCUUACUCGCUUAUGCUAUUUUACCUACGCUUAGGAUGUUGACUGAUAUGUAGUCGUA
rnacentral:rRNA from 1 species